AGUCACUGACAUUAGAUACCCCUGUAGUCCAGGGUGUAAACGCUGCAGACUUGGUGUUGGAGGCCCUUUGGGGGCAUUCAGUGCCGGAGAGAAGUUGUUAAGUCUGCUACUUGGGGAGUACGUCCGCAAGGAUGAAACUUAAAGGAAUUGGCGGGGGAGCACCACAACAGGUGGAGCCUGCGGUUUAAUUGGAUUCAACACCGUAAAACUCACCAGGGAAGACUGUUACAUGAAGGCCGAGAUGAAGACUCUGCUAGAUUUUCAG
rnacentral:rRNA from 1 species